UUGUUUUCUAGUACAUUCAGUAAAAUUCAAGGUAAAUUAUUCUUUGUGUCAUCCUUUUCUCACAGAAGUUGGUUUCUUUACUACCAGAGGAUCAAUGUUUCAUGCAUUUAUUCCAAUGAUUCUCAGGCAGGAGUGAUUUUGCCCCCCAGUGCACAUUUGUCAAAAUGGAGACAUUUUUGAUGAUCAUAUCUGAGGCAGUGCUACUGGCAUCUAGUAGGUAAGAGGUCAGGAAUACAGCUAAACUUCUUACAAUGCCUGCAACAUAAAAGAAUUAUCUGAUUCAAAGUGUCAGUCAUGCAGAAGUUGAUCUAGUCUACAGGAAAUUUUUACCCAGCCCUUCAUCCAAUGUUUUGCCUUUAUGAGAUGAUGAUGGAAAAGAACUCCUUCCCAGAGAGAUGUGGAAAUCCAAAGUAAGUAUAGCAAACCUUGGAGGCAAUUGCUGUCAACUAUACCCAGGUCCCAAAAGGCUUAAUGCAGGUUUCCCCAAUUUAGUCACAGCACCUGCUUGGGUACAAGGUAAGGAGAUAAAUAUUUAUUGCUUACUUAAUAAAGUAUUUGUGACCAAAGAAUAAGGUUUUAUUUCUCUGUUUAAACUAAAGUCAAAUUAAUAGUAUGGUGAAAUGAAUUUCCUGAACAAAGAUCUUUUCUCUGUUAUCUCUUUAACCAAUUAAUCUACUCAGUUACUAGAAGAAGCAAAAUUUUCUUAAACAAUUCUCCCUUUUCUGUAAAUUAGCAGUGAGAGUCUUAAGGGAGAGACCUUGAGCCAGUAAAAGAUAAUGUGUGAGGGCUGGGGCUAGGGCUCGGCAGCAGAGUGCUUGCCUUAUACUUGUGAGGCACUGGGUCUGAGUCUCAGCACCACAUAAAAAUAAACAAACAAAGGUAUUGUGUCCAUCUACAACUAAAACGUGUGUGUGUGUGUGUGUA
rnacentral:lncRNA from 1 species